GGAGCCCUGUGGAGGUGACACUGGGCGCCUUAGAGGAGAGAGCUGCGUGAUGUAUCACCACUCACCAGCCCUUGCCGGAGACCUGUUUAGAGUGAGAUUACAGUCUCAGCAGAGCCUCUCAUUUCUCCUGGUCACGGGGUUACAGAGCACUUUACAACUUGUGCUACAGGAAGGCAGGGAGGGAUUUAAAUGAGAGACUGGAAGAGACCCUCCAUAAACCUCAGCCAGAGCAGCCCUGACUCACAGAUGAGGAUAUAGCAAGAAGAUGGUCAUCUGCAAACCAGGAGGAGGAUCCUCACCAGAACCCAACCCUGCUGGUACCUUGAUCUUGAACUUCUCAGCCUCCAUAACAGAUAGAGUGAAGAAAGAACAUUCUCAUUCUUCCUUCUAUGCUGAUGGUACAAGAAAGUCCUGGAAUCCUAAGGAUCUAGGAAA
rnacentral:lncRNA from 1 species